rnacentral:rRNA from 1 species
UCUCAUGACCAAAGCAGGAUCAAGCUGGGUUUGUACUUUGAUGGGAGCCAUCCAGGGAAAACUCAGGGUGUUGUGGCAU